rnacentral:rRNA from 1 species
CCUACGGGUGUCUGCAGUGGGGAAUAUUGCACAAUGGGGGAAACCCUGAUGCAGCGACGCCGCGUGAGUGAAGAAGUAUUUCGGUAUGUAAAGCUCUAUCAGCAGGGAAGAAGGAAGACGGUACCUUACUAAGAAGCACUGGCUAACUACGUGCCAGCAGCCGCGGUAAUACGCAGGGGGCAAGCGUUAUCCGGACUUACGGGGUGAAAAGGGAGCGUAGACGGUAUGGCAAGUAUGAAGUGAAAGCCCAGGGCUUAACCCUGGUACUGCUUUGGAAAUUGUUAGACUAGAGUGCUGGAGAGGUAAGUGGAAUUCCUAGUGUAGCGGUGAAAUGCGUAGAUAUUAGGAGGAAGACCAGUGGCGAAGGCAGCAUACCGGCGGCGAUCUGACGCUGAGGCGCGAAAGCGUGGGUAUCGAACAGGAUUAGAUACCCGUGUAGUC